rnacentral:tRNA from 1 species
GCUGUAGCUAAGUGGUACAGCACUUGUCUAGCAUGCAUGAGGCGCUGUGUUCAAUCCUCAGUACUGCA